rnacentral:lncRNA from 1 species
GUCCAUGGGGGUGACACUAUCCUGUUGAAGAACUGGAACAAUAUUCCUCAGAUGGUUACUUGACCACAACAGAAGCAUUAGGAGGCUAUCCAAAGCAAUCUAAAAGUUACUUCUUUCUGGGAUUCACUCAAAUGGUUUGCAAAAUGAAAAUUCCUGACUUCAGGGAGACUUAUGCUGUUCUUAACAAUAACUGAUAAGACCCUUGGAUCCAAAUAAUGUGAACCACAAGAUCUACAACUGCUGAUUGAAGAAUGUUUUGGUGCCAUGUGUCCCCUGUAGCCCAUCCUAAGCACUCACCGGAGGUGUCUUCAUCUGGGCGAGACCUCUCUGGGAACAUAAUAGCCAAAGAGGGCUGCCAUCAAUUCCUUCCUCCUGGAAUAUGCACAUUCUUCCUCACAUCAAAAGAUAGAAAAAUCUCUUUUCCACUUUUGAGUCCAAGUAAUUUGGAAAAAAAUAACCCCACACCAAACUUUGGUAACAAUAACUAUACAGAGUCAAUGUUCCCGUCUCUGCUUUAGUUUUUUGGAGUCACACUGUCAAUUGAUGAAGGAAGAUUUCAUCAUUCAAACAUUGACUCUGUCCUACAUUUGUC